GACGAACGCUGGCGGCGUGCUUAACACAUGCAAGUCGAACGGAAAGGCCCUGCUUUUGUGGGGUGCUCGAGUGGCGAACGGGUGAGUAACCCGUGAGUAACCUGCCCUUUACUUUGUGAUAACUUCAGGCAACUGGGGCUAAUACCGGAUAGGAGCUCCUGCUGCAUGGUGGGGGUUGGAAAGUUUCGGCGGGUGGGGAUGGACUCGCGGCUUAUUAGCUUGUUGGUGGGGUAGUGGCUUACCAAGGCUUUGACGGAUAGCCGGCCUGAGAGGUGGACCGGCGACAUUGGGACUGAGAUACGGCCCAGACUCCUACGGGAGGCAGCAGUGGGGAAUAUUGCACAAUGGGCGGAAGCCUGAGGCAGCAACGCCGCGUGCGGGAUGACGGCCUUCGGGUUGUAAACCGCUUUCGCCUGUGACGAAGCGUGAGUGACGGUAAUGGGUAAAGAAGCACCGGCUAACUACGUG
rnacentral:rRNA from 1 species